rnacentral:rRNA from 1 species
UACGGAGGGUGCAAGCGUUAUCCGGAUUCACUGGGUUUAAAGGGUGCGUAGGUGGGCAGGUAAGUCAGUGGUGAAAUCUCCGGGCUUAACUCGGAAACUGCCAUUGAUACUAUCUGUCUUGAAUACCGUGGAGGUUAGCGGAAUAUGUCAUGUAGCGGUGAAAUGCUUAGAUAUCGUCAAGAACACCUAUAGCGAAGGCAGCUUACUAGGCUGUAACUGACGCUGAGGCACGAAAGUGUGGGGAUCAAACAGG